UACGUAGGGGGCAAGCGUUGUCCGGAUUUAUUGGGCGUAAAGAGCGUGUAGGCGGCCAGGUAGGUCUGCUGUGAAAACUCGAGGCUUAACCUCGAGCUGUCGGCGGAAACCAUCUGGCUAGAGUCCGGAAGAGGAGAAUGGAAUUCCCGGUGUAGCGGUGAAAUGCGCAGAUAUCGGGAAGAACACCCGUGGCGAAGGCGACUACCUGGCCUGUUCUUGACGCUGAGGCGCGAAAGCUAGGGGAGCAAACGGG
rnacentral:rRNA from 1 species